rnacentral:rRNA from 1 species
AUGUCGGGCCCAGUUUAUUUAGUUUUUUGGGGCACCUAUACUGGGCUAACAUUUAGAGAGCUCAUAUUGUUCAUGCAAAUUAUAUUAUCAUUGUCGUCGAAUGCUAAUAUUGAUCAUGAUAUAGGCUGCUUCAAUAGUAGUAUUCUGAGUAUGGAUUCAAGAACUAAGGCCGGUGGUAUUGAGUUAGGUGCUGAAUUUGCCCUUGUGCGCAGAGAUCAACCUAUUCUUGAUAAUGAGGAUUUGGUAAGGAAAGUUUCUGAUUGCAAGACAAUUGUUGAAGCUUUCUCUUCAGCAUACUUAAUUGCCUGGCCUUCAACUUUUGAAAGCUAA